UACGUAGGGGGCGAGCGUUGUCCGGAAUUAUUGGGCGUAAAGAGCGUGUAGGCGGUUCGGUAAGUCUGUCGUGAAAACCUGGGGCUCAACCCCAGGCGUGCGGUGGAUACUGCCGGGCUAGAGGAUGGUAGAGGCGAGUGGAAUUCCCGGUGUAGCGGUGAAAUGCGCAGAUAUCAGGAAGAACACCUAUGGCGAAGGCAGCUCUCUGGGACGGUACUGACGCUGAGACGCGAAAGCGUGGGGAGCGAACAGG
rnacentral:rRNA from 1 species